CCUGGCAAUCUGCCUGCAGCCUCACAGGCUGGGAAAGCUUGCUGACCAGGGCACCUCAGGACCCGACCCCACGACUGUGUUUGUUGAUAUGAGAGCGCUGCG